rnacentral:rRNA from 1 species
UUAUUUAAUUUCUUUGAUUAUGCAAUCACCAGUCCUCGUUUGAUCACCGAAGUUAAGCAACGUCGAGCCUAGUGAGUACUUAGAUGGGUGACUGCUUGGGAAACCUAGGUGCUGUAUGCA